rnacentral:tRNA from 3 species
GGCGAGGUAGCCAAGCGGUCUAAGGCGCUAGACUAAGGAUCUAGUUCUUCGGAGCGUGGGUUCGAAUCCCACCCUCGUCA